rnacentral:misc_RNA from 1 species
CUGGAUUCUGGUGACGGAGUGAGUCACACUGUUCCGAUUUAUGAAGGUUAUGCCCUCCCUCAUGCUAUCCUCCGUUUGGAUCUCGCUGGGCGUGAUCUCACAGAUUGUUUAAUGAAGAUCCUCACCGAGCGAGGCUACACUUUCACGACUACUGCUGAACGAGAAAUUGUAAGGGAUAUCAAGGAGAAGUUAGCCUAUAUCGCUCUUGAUUUCGAGCAGGAGAUGGAGACAGCGAAGACUAGCUCUGCUGUGGAGAAGAGUUAUGAACUGCCCGAUGGGCAGGUGAUUACGAUCGGGGCUGAGAGAUUUAGAUGCCCAGAGGUCCUCUUCCAGCCUUCCUUGAUCGGCAUGGAAGCUGCUGGGAUUCAUGAGACGACGUACAAUUCCAUCAUGAAAUGUGAUGUCGACAUCAGGAAAGAUUUGUACGGCAACAUUGUGCUGAGUGGGGGGUCUACCAUGUUCCCUGGCAUCGCUGAUCGUAUGAGCAAGGAAAUAACUGCGCUUGCCCCCAGCAGCAUGAAGAUCAAGGUGGUGGCGCCUCCUGAACGCAAAUAUAGUGUUUGGAUUGGAGGGUCCAUCCUUGCAUCGCUCAGCACGUUCCAGCAGAUGUGGAUUUCAAAG